GUAAGGAAUAUUGCUCAAUGGAGGAAACUCUGAAGCAGCCAUGCCGCGUGUAGGAUGAAGGUUUUAGGAUCGUAAACUACUUUUAUACGAGAAGAAACUCCGCUACGUGUAGCGGACUGACGGUAUCGUAAGAAUAAGGACCGGCUAACUCCGUGCCAGCAGCCGCGGUAAUACGGAGGGUCCAAGCGUUAUCCGGAUUUAUUGGGUUUAAAGGGUGCGUAGGCGGAUUUAUAAGUCAGUGGUGAAAGCCUACAGCUUAACUGUAGAAUUGCCAUUGAUACUGUUUAUCUUGAGUUUAGUUGAAGUGGGCGGAAUGUGUCAUGUAGCGGUGAAAUGCAUAGAUAUGACACAGAACACCGAUAGCGAAGGCAGCUCACUAAGCUAAUACUGACGCUGAGGCACGAAAGCGUGGGGAGCGAACAGG
rnacentral:rRNA from 1 species